GCGAACGCUGGCGGCAUGCCUAACACAUGCAAGUCGCGCGGCCGGCAACGGCAGCGGCGGACGGGUGCGCAACGCGUAGGAACGUGUCCACGGGUGGGGGACAACCCCGGGAAACUGGGGCUAAUACCGCAUGUGGCCUGAGGGCCAAAGCCGCAAGGCGCCUGUGGAGCGGCCUGCGUCCGAUUAGCUUGUUGGUGGGGUAACGGCCUACCAAGGCGGCGAUCGGUAGCUGGUCUGAGAGGACGACCAGCCACACUGGGACUGAGACACGGCCCAGGCUCCUACGGGAGGCAGCAGUGGGGAAUAUUGGACAAUGGGCGCAAGCCUGAUCCAGCAAUGCCGCGUGGGUGAAGAAGGUCUUCGGAUUGUAAAGCCCUUUCGGCGGGGACGAUGAUGACGGUACCCGCAGAAGAAGCCCCGGCUAACUUCGU
rnacentral:rRNA from 1 species